AGUGAAUAAGUCUCUUGGCUGUAGGACUCCUGCUGUGCAGCAGAAGCUGGAAAGCAUGCAGUGAAUAAGGCAGGAAACUGGGACAACAAAUGAUCUUGUGCUUAAAGCAACUGAAUGCCACCGUGGAGAACUGAAGCCAGUGACACAACGGCUUGGCAUCGCUGAAUUACAGAAACAACUCUCAAACUGGAGCUUGCGUGUUGCAUCACUUAAUUUUGACCCCCUGGGCAGAGAUAAUUUCACUCCUGUAUGUAGUCCAGAGCACUAGUCUCUGGCUUAAUGACAAAGGGAGAAGACCUGAGAGGGAGUGGCUGGGAGCUGAGCACAUGACUUGGAUUACAAAGUGAGCGCAGAUGCCCCUCCUGAACAUCCCCCAUUUCGGUCUGGAUUGUUUAUAGUGAAUACUUGCCACAAGCCAGCUCUUCCACCCAGAGCCUGGUUUUCAGCCAUUCU